GGGCGCAUAGCUCAGUUGGCAGAGCAGCUGACUCUUAAUCAGCGGGUCGUAGGUUCGAAUCCUACUGCGCCCACCA
rnacentral:tRNA from 2 species